AUUGAACGCUGGCGGCAGGCCUAACACAUGCAAGUCGAACGGUAGCAGGAAGAAGCUUGCUUCUUCGCUGACGAGUGGCGGACGGGUGAGUAAUGUCUGGGAAACUGCCUGAUGGAGGGGGAUAACUACUGGAAACGGUAGCUAAUACCGCAUAACGUCGCAAGACCAAAGAGGGGGACCUUCGGGCCUCUUGCCAUCGGAUGUGCCCAGAUGGGAUUAGCUUGUUGGUGGGGUAACGGCUCACCAAGGCGACGAUCCCUAGCUGGUCUGAGAGGAUGACCAGCCACACUGGAACUGAGACACGGUCCAGACUCCUACGGGGGGCAGCAGUGGGGAAUAUUGCACAAUGGGCGCAAGCCUGAUGCAGCCAUGCCGCGUGGAUGAAGAAGGCCUUCGGGUUGUAAAGUACUUUCAGCGGGGAGGAAGGGAGUAAAGUUAAUACCUUUGCUCAUUGACGUACCCGCAGAAGAAGCACCGGCUGACUCCGUG
rnacentral:rRNA from 1 species